GAGAAUUGAAACAUGAGCAUCCCCACAACGGUAUUUUUCCAUUUUUUAGUGACAGCCAUGAAAUAUCGCAUAAAUUGGUCCCCCUUUCCCACAUUGUCUCCUCUAUUUUCGCUCUGUUCUGACCUCUAUCAACAAUUUCCGACUCCCUUUUCAUUUUUAGUCUCUCUUCUUUCUGCCCUUUACUUUUCUUGGCCUUCUUUUAACUUGAGGACAAGAAUUUUCCAAUUCAAGAUUGUGUAGCAUGAUAUUUUUAAUGGGUUUUUUUUAAAAGAAAAUUUUGAGGAUUCUUUUUAUAAAAGAAUAUUAAUGGUUAGAUUUGUCGGUGGGGAUAGUGAUCAUGGUCAUAUGAAGUUGGGUUGGAUUGCUAGUUGAUGCUAUAUUGCAGAGGAUCAGAUGCAAGAGGAAAAGAUGCAGUUCGCAAGGCUUGAUGAUUCACCGAUGUUCCGGCAACAGGUUUUAGUUCAAUUCUUUGUCCCCAUUUAUGUACUUCUGACUUUUUUUUUUUUUUUUUCCGUGAAUCAAUUCUCACAUAAUGAUAAUACCGUGGAAAUAUUAAUUUGCUUUCAUUAGGCACGGUGUUAGUUUUUCUUUCUGCUGAUCAUUGCAUUUGUUGGGUCAAUGGCAACAUUGACUUGUGUUGCAACAGAGACUUUGGUUAUUCACCUGAGCAAGAUUUAUAUGUGUUGGAUCAUAGUCAGAUGCAUUGGACCCUCAAGGUCCAAUGCUCUUUUGAGUGCACCAUGUGGCUUGACAAGAGCUCGAAACAUCUGUGGAAAAUGCUAAUUUUAGACUACAAGUAGCACACUUUCAAGAAGUAAAAACAACCUACUAAUGAGAAGUAUUACGCCAGGAAUUAGGAGUCAUGUUACUUACUAGCUAAUAUAUUUGUUACAGCUUGUUUCCUUUACUGUCUAGUCUGCUAGUGUUUUACAGACAGAAUCUCAAUUACUUGUCGGAUUUUUCAUUUGCCAAACUGAGAUGCACAACCUUGACAUAAGAGCAUCACUUUGCUUGUUCAUUCUAAAACUGUACUACUACAACUAUAUUCUUAAAACUUUACUUGUCAAUCAGAUCCAAUGUUUGGAAGAGAGUGCUGAGAAUUUAAGGGAAAGAAGUGUAAAGUUCUUUAAAGGAUGCCGGAAGUACACGCAAGUCUGAACCUCCAUUUUCUUUCAGUAUCCUGCAUACAUGUUCCUUCUAUGAUUCCACUUCUUAUCAUGUAUAGAAUGGUUGCAAUUAAGUGCAGUUAAGUAUGAUCAUUACUCCGCUAUAGCUACUGAACAUUUGUUUAUGUAUUAGUUAAAUUCUGCACUCUGCAUUCAUCUAAUCAGGUCUUUUUUGAUACAUAACUUCGUAUUCCAAGUUCUUCUAUUUUAGUUUUAUAGCAUACUUUAAACGGUAGUCUUCUGAUUUUGCUAGAAAGAUAAAAUCACAAGAAAUAGGAAACUAGGUUCUGUUUCUUCCAUGUCUAAAUUCACAUAAUUAGAUGAAAUUUGUUGACAUUGAUAUACUUUUUGAAUCAAGGGCCUUUUGGCAUAAGACAGGAUAGGAACAAGAGCUAUUUAUGCUGACUUAAAUUUCAAAUGUAGCUGUAAAAAUGGGGGUGUGGAGAGGGAUACAACUGUCUUUCAAGCUUGUUUGGGUGUAUUAACGAGGAGAAAUACCUCCAAGAUGAUGUUGUGGAUGGGUAAUCACAACUGCAAUGCACGGAUUUUGUGCUUAACUAAUUUCCUUUUAGAAAACCAGCUAAGUUUAAAGAGAAUCUUGGUCGAUGAAAUUGAGCUGAUUGGAAAUGAAAUUUCUACCUGAUGAUGCUCUUUGACUUCUCUUGCCUUCUUCUUCUAAUACAGUAAUGUUGUUUUGCGUUGUUAAAGAAUCCCUUCUCAGAUUGUUUGAUAUGAUUGAAUUGUUAAUUGCUCAUUGCAGCAGAUAUCAGCCUCUGAAAUAUUGGUAAACUAGAUACUGAGAGGAUUCACUAAUUUCUUUUUGGGCCAUGAAACUGUCUAUUAAUUUCUGUUGCAAAUAUACUUGGAUAACUCUUUAUUGUUAAACUUGCUCAUCAUGAAGUAUACACUUGAUUUUGUUUGUUCAAAUUUUCCAGAGAAGGUCUUGGAGAAGCAUACGAUAGGGACAUUGCUUUUGCAAGUGCUCUUGAAACAUUUGGAGGCGGUCACAAUGAUCCCAUUUCUGUUGCAUUUGGAGGUACUUUUUGUUUAUUUUCUGUAUGAGUUGUUUUCCAGCUUGGAAAUUUUCAGACUUGUAUGAAUUGGUUUCCUCUUAAUGCUCCAAAACUUGUGAUUAUCAAAAUGUAGCUAGGAGUUCAAAAACACUUGGGCCCCAUGUGCAUGAAAUCUGUCGCUAUACCUGCUGAAUCUCUGCAUGUCAUUUUCUGACAGAUUAUGUUGAGAACUUUAUCUAGUGGUAUAAAAUUGGCAAAAGAAAGUAAAACUUGAAAAAGGCAGCACCCUUCUCAGCAGAACUUGAUAUACAUGUCCUGAAUAUCAAGUCAUGGGAUUUCAGUCAAGUAAAUCUAGUCAUAAUUGUUCAAAAUGAAGUGAAGAUUAACAUACUGCUUUCUUCCAAGCAAGCAGGAUGUAUUUGUUUUGCCAGCGUAUUUGUUUGUUCAUCUUUCGGUCUCCUUUUUUUUUUUUGGGUCAAUCAUUCAUCUUUUGCAGGUUUUAAUGCUGAUGGAGUUUAAUAUUGAAUAUGUUAGGCCCUGAUAUGGCUAAGUUUGCAAUUGCUCUGAGAGAAAUUGGAAUGUACAAGGAAGUUCUUCGAUCGCAGGUGAUAAAUCUUCUUUCAAUUUUGAAAGAGCUCAUUUUGUUCUUUUUGCUCUUUACUAAAAGUAGUUUCAUAAGAAUCUACUAAAAGUACUUUCAGUUUCCUUGGCUGAAAAUUCAAUUUAAAAAGCACCAAGAUAGAAAUGAGAAUUGAAACAUGAGCAUCCCCACAACGGUAUUUUUCCAUUUUUUAGUGACAGCCAUGAAAUAUCGCAUAAAUUGGUCCCCCUUUCCCACAUUGUCUCCUCUAUUUUCCCUCUGUUCUGACCUCUAUCAACAAUUUCCGACUCCCUUUUCAUUUUUAGUCUCUCUUCUUUCUGCCCUUUACUUUUCUUGGCCUUCUUUUAACUUGAGGACAAGAAUUUUCCAAUUCAAGAUUGUGUAGCAUGAUA
rnacentral:lncRNA from 1 species